rnacentral:rRNA from 1 species
UGGGGAAUUUUGGACAAUGGGGGCAACCCUGAUCCAGCAAUGCCGCGUGAGUGAAGAAGGCCUUCGGGUUGUAAAGCUCUUUUGUCAGGGAAGAAACGGUGAGGGCUAAUAUCCUUUGCUAAUGACGGUACCUGAAGAAUAAGCACCGGCUAACUACGUGCCAGCAGCCGCGGUAAUACGUAGGGUGCAAGCGUUAAUCGGAAUUACUGGGCGUAAAGCGUGCGCAGGCGGUUAUGUAAGUCAGAUGUGAAAUCCCCGGGCUCAACCUGGGAAUGGCAUUUGAGACUGCAUGGCUAGAGUGUGUCAGAGGGGGGUAGAAUUCCACGUGUAGCAGUGAAAUGCGUAGAGAUGUGGAGGAAUACCGAUGGCGAAGGCGGCCCCCUGGGAUAACACUGACGCUCAUGCACGAAAGCGUGGGGAGCAAACAGG